rnacentral:rRNA from 1 species
UAAUACGUAGGGGGCAAGCGUUGUCCGGAGUUAUUGGGCGUAAAGAGCGUGUAGGCGGCCAGACAGGUCCGUUGUGAAAACUCGAGGCUCAACCUCGAGACGCCGAUGGAAACCGUUUGGCUAGAGUCCGGAAGAGGAGAGUGGAAUUCCUGGUGUAGCGGUGAAAUGCGCAGAUAUCAGGAAGAACACCCGUGGCUAAGGCGGCUCUCUAGUACGGUACUGACGCUGAGACGCGAAAGCGUGGGGAGCGAACAGGAUUAGAUACC